CUCAUCAACCCUGUGAACAUACCUAUAACGUUGCCUCGGCGGGAACAGACGGCCCCGUAACACGGGCCGCCCCCGCCAGAGGACCCCCUAACUCUGUUUCUAUAAUGUUUCUUCUGAGUAAACAAGCAAAUAAAUUAAAACUUUCAACAACGGAUCUCUUGGCUCUGGCAUCGAUGAAGAACGCAGCGAAAUGCGAUAAGUAAUGUGAAUUGCAGUAUUCAGUGAAUCAUCGAAUCUUUGAACGCACAUUGCGCCCGCCAGUAUUCUGGCGGGCAUGCCUGUUCGAGCGUCAUUACAACCCUCAGGCCCCCGGGCCUGGCGUUGGGGAUCGGCGGAAGCCCCCUGCGGGCACAACGCCGUCCCCCAAAUACAGUGGCGGUCCCGCCGCAGCUUCCAUUGCGUAGUAGCUAACACCUCGCAACUGGAGAGCGGCGCGGCCACGCCGUAAAACACCCAACUUCUGAAUGUUGACCUCGAAUCAGGUAGGAAUACCCGCUGAACUUAAGCAUAUCAAUAAGCGGAGGAA
rnacentral:rRNA from 1 species